UGGGGAAUUUUGCACAAUGGGCGCAAGCCUGUUGCAGCGACGCCGCGUGAGGGAUGAAGGCCUUCGGGUUGUAAACCUUUUUCGCUCAUGGUCAAGCCGCAGCUUUGGGUUGUGGUGAGGGUAGUGGGUAAAGAAGCGCCGGCUAACUACGUGCCAGCAGCCGCGGUAAUACGUAGGGCGCGAGCGUUGUCCGGAAUUAUUGGGCGUAAAGGGUACGUAGGCGGGUAAGCAAGUUAGAAGUGAAAUCCUGUAGCUCAACUACAGUAAGCUUUUAAAACUGCUCAUCUUGAGAUAUGGAAGGGAAAGUGGAAUUCCUAGUGUAGCGGUGAAAUGCGCAGAUAUUAGGAGGAAUACCGGUGGCGAAGGCGACUUUCUGGCCAUAAUCUGACGCUGAGGUACGAAAGCGUGGGUAGCAAACAGG
rnacentral:rRNA from 1 species